GUUGGAUGUCGUGAGGGACCGUCUCAAACUUCUCCCACCGGGACGAUCCUGCUGGAUCCUGCUCCUCUUUCAUCUCUAGAACAAACUCUGAUACGGGACUGUUGUUUUCAGCGCCUGGCAUCCAGGAGAGGGUGACACUACGGUCCAUCUUCUCAGACAACUCCAGCGAGUGAGGAGGAUCAGGUUUAUCUGAGGAGCGUCAAACACAUCAUCGUGCUUCAGAAGCAAUGAAAUGUAAAACUGCACGUCUAACUGGAAGAGCCAGACUCACCCACUACGGUGAUGGAGCCCGUGGAGCUGUCUGAGUCGAGUUUAGUGCUGAUCUCACAGCUGUAGAUUCCUGUGUCCUCCAUCUGAACAUUCAUCACCUUCAGAGGGCCAUGCUGGGAUGUGAUGUACCUGCAACCAUGUGGAAAACACAAACAUUUAACAAGCAAAGCCAUCAAAAUAUGGAAUUCAUCCACACAAUGCAAUGCAUUCAACGAGUUCGCGAGUUCCUUUGCCCAUAUGAUCUUUAAGCUAAGUAGGUUGAGCGUGUUUGGCUUGCUGUCCGCAGUGGAGGCGCUCGAGGAAGCAGCUUCAACUCAAGCUGAGAUAAACCCAGUGGGACCGCUGAUGCCUGGGUGAUGAGGAUGGUAGCUAGAUGCCUACAUCAUGUUGGUGGAGUUGAGGAGGUGGAGGGACAGCUGAUGUUCAGCAUUUGGGGCGGCAGUGGCUCAGUGGCUCAUCUAGAUUGUCUACAAACCAGAAGGUUGGCGGUUCAAUCCACCUGACACCACCAUGGGUGAAUGAAUGGGUGAAUGUGAGACAAAAUGUAUAGCGCUUUGGAGGCCAUUGGGUCUAUGAAGGCGCUAUAUAAAUGCAGUCCAUUUUUCCAUUUACCAACAUUUGACAAUCUGGUUUUACCAACCCUGCAUUGAAGUUAUUGCAAUUUUCAACACUCAGAUAUUCAUGGGAUUGUUUUGAUCCCUUAGUGGCCCUUAGUUUUGAUCCCUUUGAUCCCUUUUCGACACUAGAGGUCGCCUAUUUUUUUAGUCCUAAAGGUGUAGCUAGAUGAGAUUGGAUGGCUAUUGUUGCUAAAUGGCAUGAAAAUCAUUUUAAAACAUUGUAUGUUGGAAAAAUGCAACAUUACUGUUACUAAAAAUAAAGCUGGAUCUGAUUAUGUUGUGUUAGCCACUUGUCAAAAUAAUGCUUUUCUCUAAGGCAUGGUAAAAACAUGAUAUUAAAUAUAGAAAAUAAGCAAUUCCAAUAAUAAGAUUAACAGUAUUAACUAUAUAACAAUGAUUCAUGUUCUGUCUAUAAAUGUUAUUUUUAUCCAAACAUCUUACAUAUUGUGCCAUUAUAUUAAUGCAAAUAAUAAUGACUACAUUUAAAUGUCUUUUACACAAUUAUUAUACUCAAAAAAAAGAAACAAGAACAGAAUCAACAGAAAAUGUGAUUUUAAAUUGUGUGUUUACUUAUCAGAAGAUGUGGUGAUCUUGUGUCCGUCCUUCUUCCACUGAACUGUGGGAUCUUUAAACAUGUGGUCCACUGUA